rnacentral:rRNA from 1 species
UCUUACCUACGGGGGGCAGCAGUGGGGAAUAUUGGACAAUGGGGGGAACCCUGAUCCAGCGACGCCGCGUGAGUGAAGAAGUAUUUCGGUAUGUAAAGCUCUAUCAGCAGGGAAGAAAGAAAUGACGGUACCUGACUAAGAAGCCCCGGCUAACUACGUGCCAGCAGCCGCGGUAAUACGUAGGGGGCAAGCGUUAUCCGGAUUUACUGGGUGUAAAGGGAGCGUAGACGGCAUGGCAAGUCUGAAGUGAAAGCCCGGGGCUCAACCGCGGGACUGCUUUGGAAACUGUUAAGCUGGAGUGCAGG